rnacentral:rRNA from 1 species
UACACUCCUGCGGGAGGCAGCAGUGGGGAAUAUUGGACAAUGGGCGCAAGCCUGAUCCAGCCAUGCCGCGUGAGUGAUGAAGGCCCUAGGGUUGUAAAGCUCUUUCACCGGUGAAGAUAAUGACGGUAACCGGAGAAGAAGCCCCGGCUAACUUCGUGCCAGCAGCCGCGGUAAUACGAAGGGGGCUAGCGUUGUUCGGAUUUACUGGGCGUAAAGCGCACGUAGGCGGACUAUUAAGUCAGGGGUGAAAUCCCGGGGCUCAACCCCGGAACUGCCUUUGAUACUGGUAGUCGUGAGUUCGAGAGAGGUGAGUGGAAUUCCGAGUGUAGAGGUGAAAUUCGUAGAUAUUCGGAGGAACACCAGUGGCGAAGGCGGCUCACUGGCUCGAUACUGACGCUGAGGUGCGAAAGCGUGGGGAGCAAACAGGAUUAGAUACCCGAGUAGUCCCAUG